AGCAGCCGCGGUAAUUCCAGCUCCAAUAGCGUAUAUUAAAGUUGUUGCAGUUAAAAAGCUCGUAGUUGAAUUUCGGAAUUUGUGGGUUGGUCGGGCUUCACUGUCCGCACUGACCUGAUGAAUUCCUACCUUCUGAAUAACCUUCAUGCUAUUAAGUUAGUGCGUUGGGGAAGCAGAGCUAUUACCUUGAAAAAUUAGAGUGCUUAAAGCAGGCUUAUGCUUGAAUAGAUUAGCAUGGAAUAAUAAAAUAGGACGGCAUGGUUCUAUUUUGUUGGUUUCUAGGAUCACCGUAAUGAUUAAUAGGGAUAGUUGGGGGCAUUAGUAUUCAAUUGUCAGAGGUGAAAUUCUUGGAUUUAUUGAAGACUAACUUCUGCGAAAGCAUUUGCCAAGGAUGUUUUCAUUAAUCAAGAACGAAAGUUAGGGGAUCGAAGACGAUCAGAUACCGUCGUAGUCUUAACCAUAAACUAUGCCGACUAGGGAUCGGACGAUGUUAAUUUUAAUGA
rnacentral:rRNA from 1 species